GACGAACGCUGGCGGCGUGCUUAACACAUGCAAGUCGAACGGAAAGGCCCUGCUUUUGUGGGGUGCUCGAGUGGCGAACGGGUGAGUAACACGUGAGUAACCUGCCCUUGACUUUGGGAUAACUUCAGGAAACUGGGGCUAAUACCGGAUAGGAGCUCCUGCUGCAUGGUGGGGGUUGGAAAGUUUCGGCGGUUGGGGAUGGACUCGCGGCUUAUCAGCUUGUUGGUGGGGUAGUGGCUUACCAAGGCUUUGACGGGUAGCCGGCCUGAGAGGGUGACCGGCCACAUUGGGACUGAGAUACGGCCCAGACUCCUACGGGAGGCAGCAGUGGGGAAUAUUGCACAAUGGGCGGAAGCCUGAUGCAGCAACGCCGCGUGCGGGAUGACGGCCUUCGGGUUGUAAACCGCUUUCGCCGGUGACGAAGCGUGAGUGACGGUAAUGGGUAAAGAAGCACCGGCUAACUACGUG
rnacentral:rRNA from 1 species